rnacentral:rRNA from 1 species
AACGAACGCUUUCGGCCUUCCUAACACCUGCAAGUCGAACGAUACCUUCGGGUCUAGUGGCGCACGGGUGCGUAACGCGUGGGAACCUGCCCUUAGGUUCGGCAUCACUCCCCGAAAGGGGUGCUAAUACCGGAUAAUGUCUUCGGACCAAAGAUUUAUCGCCUUUGGAUGGGCCCGCGUUGGAUUAGCUAGUUGGUAGGGUAAAAGCCUACCAAGGAGACGAUCCAUAGCUGGUCUGAGAGGAUGAUCAGCCACACUGGGACUGAGACACGGCCCAGACUCAGACGGGAGGAAGCAGUGGGGAAUAGUGGACAAUGGGCGAAAGCCUGAGCCAGCAAUGCCGCGUGAGGGAGGAAGGCAGUAGGGUUGUAAAGCUCGGGUACCCGGGAUGAUAAUGACAGUACCGGGAGAAUAAGCGAAGGCGAACUCCGGG